CUGAGUUCUUCCUGCCUUUGCCUUCAAAAAUGAGACUCAACACAUCAGGCUGAUAGUCGUCUAAGGAGCUUGGAAAGAAGACAGAUAACCAUCACUGCUCUGACUGCUUUUCCAAUGUUGAAGUUCACUAUAUUCAUGCAGUUGAUUUUUUCACAUCCCAGGAUUGGAUGACCAAUCAGACGCCAGUAAAGAUGGGCUAGUGUGUGGAGGAAGGUCAUUCUCCUUAGGUUAUAUUAAUCCAUCGUUCCCCUGCUCCACUCAGAAGGACAGAGACUCAGGAUGGCCCGGCCUCUGCAGCUCUUUGUCGUGGUCUCCUCCUUAAUAGCUGCCUCUCUGUGUGAUGUCUGUGUGGAAGCUGUUUUAGGAAGGCAGUUCACAUUUCCAGAAAACUGCAGCAAUGAUGGAGGAAAACUGUUCCGGUGUGAGCCGCAUGGGGAGGUGGAGGUGGCUGUUCACCAGCAAGGUGUGUGGACACCUGCUCAAGGCUACGAAGACCGUAUCAGUAACAAUUCCUCCAUUAUCUUCUAUCACGCAUUUUACAAUGAUAGCGGGGAUUUUGUGUUAAGGUGUAGAGAAGGCGUGCAAAUUAAAAUUAAAGUUAAAGUUCUGCUUCCCUUUAAUGUAACGGUCAAGGAGGGAGAAAAUGCCACUUUCCCGUGCUUUUAUCAAGAGCAAGUCUGCAGCAAGUCCGAGACUGUGCAGUGUGUGAAAAACGGGCAGAAUUCCACCACAGACGAAGGAAACAAGUGUGCUGAUGGCCGACUCUAUGUGUCACCUAAACGAGACUGUUGCCGAAACGUAACAGGGGCUAAGAAGCAAGACGGAGGAGAUUAUUUUUGUUACAUCCAGUGUGGAGGGAAACGGUUCGCAGCUGUUGUGAGGCUAAAGGUCAACGGGACAUCCACUUCACCGCCUGCGUCGAAACCACAACAAGCCUGAGCUGCUGUCAGCUUUACAGAGGAGCAGUGCUGUGCUGUGCAACAUCCACACACGAUCCAGUCACACGGACCUUCCUCCUUCUCUUUAGCUCAUCAGUGCCACCCGUUACACAUAUUUCUCAUUUUUAGCGUCUAAAAACAACACGUUAGAAGUGCCAGAUUAGCUUGGAAACAUUCAAGUUUUUCAGACUUAUUAUCAUAUGAAAUGUGUUCUAAGAGGACAUUCAUAUCUCUUUAUAUUUUGUUCAUUUCUUCCUUGAUUUUUAGUUUAUCAUUAGUUUGUAUGAUUUUUACAUUUUAUAGAUGUGCCUUUGUAUUUCUACUCAUCCUGUAACUCGUUGGUUGCUCCAGUGUCUUCUUUGGUGCCUUCAGUCUACAUACAGUCCUUCUCUUUAUAUUAAUAAAUGAGUUUAAAGCCU
rnacentral:lncRNA from 1 species